GUACGGGGGGGGCGAGCGUUGUUCGGAAUUACUGGGCGUAAAGGGCCAGUAGGCGGCCAACUAAGUCGGAUCGUGAAAUCCCCAGGCUCAACUUGGGAACUGCAUCCGAUACUGGAUGGCUUGAAUUCGGGAGAGGGAUGCAGAAUUCCAGGUGUAGCGGUGAAAUGCGUAGAUAUCUGGAGGAAUACCAGAGGCGAAGGCGGCUUUCUGGCCUGUAACUGACGCUGAGACGCGAAAGCGUGGGGAGCGAACAGG
rnacentral:rRNA from 1 species